CCUACGGGGGGCUGCAGUGGGGAAUAUUGGACAAUGGGGGCAACCCUGAUCCAGCCAUGCCGCGUGUGUGAAGAAGGCCCUCGGGUUGUAAAGCACUUUCAGUGAGGAAGAACGCCUGGUGGUUAAUACCCAUCAGGAAAGACAUCACUCACAGAAGAAGCACCGGCUAACUCCGUGCCAGCAGCCGCGGUAAUACGGAGGGUGCGAGCGUUAAUCGGAAUUACUGGGCGUAAAGCGCGCGUAGGUGGCUUGAUAAGCCGGUUGUGAAAGCCCCGGGCUCAACCUGGGAACGGCAUCCGGAACUGUCAAGCUAGAGUGCAGGAGAGGAAGGUAGAAUUCCCGGUGUAGCGAUGAAAUGCGUAGAGAUCGGGAGGAAUACCAGUGGCGAAGGCGGCCUUCUGGACUGACACUGACACUGAGGUGCGAAAGCGUGGGUAGCAAACAGGAUUAGAUACCCGUGUAGUC
rnacentral:rRNA from 1 species